rnacentral:rRNA from 1 species
GAUGAACGCUGGCGGCGUGCCUAAUACAUGCAAGUCGAGCGAACAGAUGAGGAGCUUGCUCCUCUGACGUUAGCGGCGGACGGGUGAGUAACACGUGGAUAACCUACCUAUAAGACUGGGAUAACUUCGGGAAACCGGAGCUAAUACCGGAUAAUAUAUUGAACCGCAUGGUUCAAUAGUGAAAGACGGUUUUGCUGUCACUUAUAGAUGGAUCCGCGCCGCAUUAGCUAGUUGGUAAGGUAACGGCUUACCAAGGCAACGAUGCGUAGCCGACCUGAGAGGGUGAUCGGCCACACUGGAACUGAGACACGGUCAAGACUCCUACGGGAGGCAGCAGUAGGGAAUCUUCCGCAAUGGGCGAAAGCAUGACGGAGCAACGCCGCGUGAGUGAUGAAGGUAUUCGGAUCGUAAAACUCUGUUAUUAGGGAAGAACAAAUGUGUAAGUAACUAUGCACGUCUUGACGGUACCUAAUCAGAAAGCCACGGCUAACUACGUG